ACUCUUUCCCUAUAAAGCUUCAAGUGUUGUAGGUUAUAUUUAUUAUAACUCUUUCAUUGUUGAAGAUAUACAUAAAUUCUUUCAUAGUUGUGUUGAUUUAGAUGGUGCCAGAGCCUCCUUCAAUUUCUUUUGGAAUUGAAGCAGACACAAUUAUUAUUUCUAUUUAACGCUUCUGUUGUAACCUUCUUCCUUGUACCACAGUCACUAUUUCUGAUUCCAAAAAGGGUAAUUGUGGUUCUCAUGAAAAAAAUAAUAACCCUACAAUUGUUUUCCCAAUACAGGAAAUUCUCUAAUCACCCCAUAAUGCCUUGAUGGAACAAAUUAUAUUAAGUGAUCCCUAAAUGCCAAGAAUAAGAUUCGUGGAAGAAAGCGUUUGGGUUUUAUUUUAGGUAUGAAAGUGCCACCAAAAGAUAAACUUUUAAAUGAGUACGAAACUUGGUAAGAAGAAAAUUUCUUGGUCAAAUCAUGGCUUCUUGAUGCAAUGAAAAAGGACAUCAUAUCAUUAUUCCUUCGCUUGGGCACAACAAAAGAAAUAUGGGAUGUUGUAAAACAAACAUAUUCUUUUGAGCAAGAUGUUUCAAAAGCAUAUCAACUUUAUUGUGAGGUGAUGUCUAUUCAGCAAAAUGUUUGUGCAGAAGCUAAUUGACAGGGAGCCAUGUUUGGAGGGACAAUUGGAGGAGUUGCAAUGAUCACCAAAAGGACCUAUUCAAAAACGGAUCGUAAAUUUAACCAUUGUAAUGGCACAUGUCACAAAGUGGAUAAAUAUUUUUGGUUACAUGGAUAUCUAGAUUGGCACCCAAAAAGCAAGAAGG